ACUUUUAAAGGAUAAAAGUCAU
rnacentral:tRNA from 1 species